CCUACGGGUGGCAGCAGUGAGGAAUAUUGGUCAAUGGGCGCGAGCCUGAACCAGCCAAGUAGCGUGAAGGAUGAAUGCCCUACGGGUUGUAAACUUCUUUUAUAAAGGAGUAAAGUGAGGCACGUGUGUCUUUUUGUAUGUACCUUAUGAAUAAGGAUCGGCUAACUCCGUGCCAGCAGCCGCGGUAAUACGGAGGAUCCGAGCGUUAUCCGGAUUUAUUGGGUUUAAAGGGAGCGUAGAUGGGUUGUUAAGUCAGUUGUGAAAGUUUGCGGCUCAACCGUAAAAUUGCAAUUGAUACUGGCGGUCUUGAGUACAGUUGAGGUAGGCGGAAUUCGUGGUGUAGCGGUGAAAUGCUUAGAUAUCACGAAGAACUCCGAUUGCGAAGGCAGCUUACUAGACUGCCACUGACGGUGAUGCUCGAAAGUGUGGGUAUCAAACAGGAUUAGAUACCCUUGUAGUC
rnacentral:rRNA from 1 species